GGCCACCAUUGCAUUUCCAUCUGCUCCUUGUUUCUCAUUGUGAUCGGUUGGUCAUAAGGGGAAUUCUUCCUGAGGAACAGUCACUGCAUAGUCUGGUAGUGUAGUGGACCCUGGAAGAUGCCCUGAAUUGAGUAAGACAACAGCCCCAUGAUCUGUGAAAGCAUGUGGAGUGGAAAGUAGUUGUGAUGGGGAACUCUGGGAAACUCCUUGCAAAUAGACAUGACUUCCGAGGUACACAAUGUUGAAUCGAUCUCCAACCUCGGGAACUAAACCGUCUGUGAGGUAACCAGCACAGACUUGGACCGAUUCACUACCAAACCCAGAGAUUCUAGUAGAUUUACUAGAGGGAUGGUAUGGUCCUUCAGUCCCGUCCUGUCCGAACCGAAGAUCAGGAUGUCGUCCAGAUAAAUUAUGCAGCAGACCCCGUGGGCCUGAAGAUGGACAACCAUCAGCUCCAGAAUCCUGGGUAGAUAUCUGAUUGGGGCAAAUGAAG